rnacentral:lncRNA from 1 species
CUCAAGACCCUACCCUUUCCCGCGCGUGCCCUUCCCCCAUCCUAAACCCCUCAGGCGGGUGCGCGCAGUCACCCCGCCCUCACUUCCUCCUGAGCGCGAAAAGCGGGGGCGGGAAGGAGCUGGAGACAAAGCGCAGGCGCGACCGUUACCUUCCCGCCCGAGAGCGGCGGGAAAUUCCCACUGCAGUGUGCGCAUGCGCACAGAGGUUCUGCGGCUCCAUGACUGCAGGGCGUAGCCCCUGUAACCCAAGGAGUUUUCUUAACACUGUACCACACUACGCCCCAGCUUAUUAAGACAGUUAACAUCUAACAGCCUGUCUCCACUGCACUAGGAAAUCCUGUGGGGAGCAGGUGGUGGCAGUGAAGAAUUUGGAGAGAAUGGAAAUCUGCAUUGGGGCCCCUGAAAACAGAUGGGGAGGUGCAGGGCUGAGCCCAGUGCCUGCAGGUAUUGCGGGCAUCUGCAGCUGCGCACCCCCGCCUUUGAGCGCAGCAGUGCGCUCCCUGAAUUGCUCAUUCAUCCAGUGCCGCAGAGCCCCACCCCUUGUCCCUGCAGCCAGACAUUUUCUUUGCACUCCGACCAUGUGCUUCCUGUGCUGAGAGCUGUCCGGAAAUCUGGCCAACUGUACUGGAGUGGGG